AUUGAACGCUGGCGGCAUGCUUUACACAUGCAAGUCGAACGGUAACAGGGUGCUUGCACCGCUGACGAGUGGCGAACGGGUGAGUAAUGCAUCGGAACGUGCCCAGUUGUGGGGGAUAACUGCUCGAAAGAGCAGCUAAUACCGCAUACGACCUGAGGGUGAAAGCGGGGGAUCGCAAGACCUCGCGCAAUUGGAGCGGCCGAUGUCGGAUUAGCUAGUUGGUGGGGUAAAGGCCCACCAAGGCGACGAUCCGUAGCUGGUCUGAGAGGACGACCAGACACACUGGGACUGAGACACGGCCCAGACUCCUACGGGAGGCAGCAGUGGGGAAUUUUGGACAAUGGACGCAAGUCUGAUCCAGCCAUGCCGCGUGCGGGAAGAAGGCCUUCGGGUUGUAAACCGCUUUUGUCAGGGAAGAAAUCUUCUGGGUUAAUACCUCGGGAGGAUGACGGUACCUGAAGAAUAAGCACCGGCUAACUACGUGCCAGCAGCCGCCGUAAAAC
rnacentral:rRNA from 1 species